UACAGAGGUCUCAAGCGUUGUUCGGAUUCAUUGGGCGUAAAGGGUGUGUAGGUGGCGCUGUAAGUCGGGUGUGAAAUUUCGGAGCUUAACUCCGAAACUGCAUUCGAUACUGCAGUGCUUGAGGACUGGAGAGGAGACUGGAAUUCAUGGUGUAGCAGUGAAAUGCGUAGAGAUCAUGAGGAAGACCAGUGGCGAAGGCGGGUCUCUGGACAGUUCCUGACACUGAGACACGAAGGCCAGGGGAGCAAACGGG
rnacentral:rRNA from 1 species